rnacentral:rRNA from 1 species
GAUGAACGCUGGCGGCGUGCCUAAUACAUGCAAGUCGAGCGAACGGACGAGAAGCUUGCUUCUCUGAUGUUAGCGGCGGACGGGUGAGUAACACGUGGAUAACCUACCUAUAAGACUGGGAUAACUUCGGGAAACCGGAGCUAAUACCGGAUAUAUUAUUAACCGCAUGGUUCAAAAGUGAAAGACGGGCUUGCUUUCACUUAUAGAUGGAUCCGCGCUGCAUUAGCUAGUUGGUAAGGUAACGGCUUACCAAGGCAACGAUGCAUAGCCGACCUGAGAGGGUGAUCGGCCACACUGGAACUGAGACACGGUCCAGACUCCUACGGGAGGCAGCAGUAGGGAAUCUUCCGCAAUGGGCGAAAGCCUGACGGAGCAACGCCGCGUGAGUGAUGAAGGUCUUCGGAUCGUAAAACUCUGUUAUUAGGGAAGAACAUAUGUGUAAGUAACUGUGCACAUCUUGACGGUACCUAAUCAGAAAGCCACGGCUAACUACGUG